AUGGCCUGUGCCCUGUUCUUCCUCAUGCUGAUCAUCACGUACUGCUCAGGGGUCUGGUCACAGCCUGUGGUGACUCAGGAGCCUGCGGUGUCAGUGUCCCCAGGAGGGACUGUCACUCUGUCCUGCAGCCUGAGCACCGGAGCCAUCACCACCAGCAACUAUCCUGGCUGGUACCAGCAGAAACCUGGCUCUCCCCCUCGGGUGCUUAUAUACCGCACCAACAGCAGGCCCUCGGGGAUCCCCACCCGGUUCUCGGGGUCCAUAUCUGGUCAGAAGGCCGCCUUGACCAUCACGGGGGUCCAAGCCGAGGAUGAGGCCGACUACUACUGUCAGCUCAGACAGAGCCCUGCAUAUCAGAUAUGUAUUUUAAAUGCUCUGAACUUUGCCAAUGACAGUAUUUCUUGGUCUCCAUGA